rnacentral:lncRNA from 1 species
CUGAAAGCCAAAUCAACCCAAACAAGAGAUACAAACAGAAAGGAAAAUAUUUGGAUCAAGUCUACAGAGAAAUAUCACAAAUGAUUAAAGGACCAAGAAAAAAAAAUCUUGUGAAGUGUUUAAGUGAUUCACAUGAAUCUGAGGUACAGAUGGACUUCAAACUUACGCAGAAUAAGCUAUGAAAAUUGUGUUCAUGGAAUAUUAGAAGGAUCCUUUAACACAGCAGUCCCCACACUUUUUGGCACCAGGAACUGGUUUCAUGGAAGACCAUUUUUCCACUGACCUGGGGGUGGGGGCGAUGGUUUAGGGAUGAUUCAAGUGUAUUACAUUUAUUGUGUACUUUAUUUCUAUUACAUUGUGAUAUAUAAUAAAAUAAUUAUACAACUCACCACAAUGUGGAAUCAGUGACAGCCCUGAGCUUGUUUUCC